AUUGAACGCUGGCGGCAUGCCUUACACAUGCAAGUCGAACGGUAACAGGUCUUCGGAUGCUGACGAGUGGCGCACGGGUGAGUAAUACAUCGGAACGUGCCCGAUCGUGGGGGAUAACGAAGCGAAAGCUUUGCUAAUACCGCAUACGAUCUACGGAUGACAGCAGGGGACCGCAAGGCCUUGCGCGAACGGAGCGGCCGAUGGCAGAUUAGGUAGUUGGUGGGAUAAAAGCUUACCAAGCCGACGAUCUGUAGCUGGUCUGAGAGGACGACCAGCCACACUGGGACUGAGACACGGCCCAGACUCCUACGGGAGGCAGCAGUGGGGAAUUUUGGACAAUGGGCGAAAGCCUGAUCCAGCCAUGCCGCGUGCAGGAUGAAGGCCUUCGGGUUGUAAACUGCUUUUGUACGGAACGAAAAGACUCUGGUUAAUACCUGGGGUCCAUGACGGUACCGUAAGAAUAAGCACCGGCUAACUACGUG
rnacentral:rRNA from 1 species